rnacentral:ncRNA from 1 species
CUGUUGUAUAAAUAAACAAAAUAUCUCUGCUGUGCUUUUAAAUGGUGGAAAGCACAAUGAUAACGCAUGGGAAAUUCAACUAACUUUUGGUUGUCUUUUUGAGUGGGUGAAUAUAGGUUGCAAUCUCAUUGAUAAAUAUCUGCCUAGAAGAAACUUAAUUUAUCAGACCCAAAACCCAUGUGGGGUGCUCUCGGGUGCCCCGGCCGCUUUGGUGACUCUAGAUAACCUCGAGCCGAUCGCACGCCCUUUGUGGCGAUGACGUCUCAUUCGAAUGUCUGCCCUAUCAACUUUCAAUGGUACUUUUUGUGCCUACCAUGGUGACCACGGGUAACGGGGAAUUAGGCUUCAAUUUCGGAGAGGGAGCCUGAGAAACGGCUACCACAUCCAAAGAAGGCAGUAGGCGUGCAAAUUAUCCACUCCCAACUCGGGGAGGUAGUGACGAAAAAUAACAAUACAGGACUCUUUCGAGGCCCUGUAAUUGGAAUGAGUACACUUUAAAUCCUUUAAUGAGGAUCCAUUGGAGGGCAAGUCCAGCUACUAUAG